CACGUAGUUAGCCGGUGCUUCUUUACCCAUUACCGUCACUCACGCUUCGUCACAGGCGAAAGCGGUUUACAACCCGAAGGCCGCAUCCCGCACGCGGCGUUGCUGCAUCAGGCUUCCGCCCAUUGUGCAAUAUUCCCCACUGCUGCCUCCCGUAGGAGUCUGGGCCGUAUCUCAGUCCCAAUGUGGCCGGUCACCCUCUCAGGCCGGCUACCCGUCAAAGCCUUGGUAAGCCACUACCCCACCAACAAGCUGAUAAGCCGCGAGUCCAUCCCCAACCGCCGAAACUUUCCAACCCCCACCAUGCAGCAGGAGCUCCUAUCCGGUAUUAGCCCCAGUUUCCUGAAGUUAUCCCAAAGUCAAGGGCAGGUUACUCACGUGUUACUCACCCGUUCGCCACUCGAGCACCCCACAAAAGCAGGGCCUUUCCGUUCGACUUGCAUGUGUUAAGCACGCCGCCAGCGUUCGUCCUGAGCCACGGAUCAAACUCU
rnacentral:rRNA from 1 species